CAACGUAAAGAACCUGCCUUAUAGACUGGGACAACUAUUGGAAACGAUAGCUAAUACCGGAUAACAGCAUUAACUGCAUGGUUGAUGUUUAAAAGUUGGUUAUGCUAACACUAUGAGAUGGCUUUGCGGUGCAUUAGCUAGUUGGUGGGGUAAAAGCCUACCAAGGCGACGAUGCAUAGCCGACCUGAGAGGGUGAUCGGCCACACUGGGACUGAGACACGGCCCAG
rnacentral:rRNA from 1 species